AUUUGACAGCUUCCCCAAAGCAGGCUUUACAGUCCAGGCUCCCCGAGAAGCCUGGGGAGGAGACCCUCCCAGGCGUUUUUCUCACUGGUUGCCGCCAGCUGGGGGAAGCAGCAUUUGUGAGCACCUGCCUGUCUCCCCAGGUCCUGUUCAGAAACCCCAUCUGUGCCUUUGGAGGGACUGCCCUGCGCACACAGGCCCAGUAACCACCAUCUACGGCCCCCAGGACCUAAUCCCCUUCUACAUAGGGUUCAGUGCAUGUCACAGGUCCAGCAACCACCAUCUACGGCCCCCAGGACCUAAUCCCCUUCUACUUGGGGUUCAGUGCAUGUUAGCAGACACUGGGCUCGAUUCCUGCCUAGUCCCUGCCAGAUACCCCAUGCCCACCUCGUGAAGAGAAUGAGGCCACACAAACACACCCAGACCGUCAUGGUGAUGGAGUGCCUGGGGUCCCACUUGCCCACCCUUCAUUGCUGGUUCAGAGCCAGCUGUCUGACCACAUUCCUACUCCAAGAUGGGACUUUGGAGACAUUGUCCACCAGGGUCGCUGACCCCUUUUAACGUUCCAGAAACAUGGCCAGCUGGUCCCCUAGAAGUUUGGUACAUGGGAUAAGCCAAGGCUUGCCUUCAGGAACAGGUUUUCCACCACGUCGCUGCCCAAGGCCCAGGGCAUCCCCAAGUUCACGUGAAGCCUGCCUGCCAUGUCCACAGCCCAUGCUGAGCCCUCCUGGAGCCACUGGAAUGCUUGUUCCUGGGCAUGUGAUGAACCCAGACAGCUUCUGCCUUGCAGGACAACUGUGUGCAUCUGGCAGCAGUAGCCGGAGGGCCCAUGGAAAGAAGAUGGAGGUGAAACCAGAUGCUGUGAGAAUACUUUAUUAGUCAAAACUGCACACUAUAAAAGUGCUUUAAAAUGCAGCAGCAGGAGAUGUGAAGACACAAAUGAACAAGUGCGUAGUGACACAUAGCUGUCACAACACAGUGAAGAAUACACACUGCCUCCCCCGCUUUACCUAGAAAAGGAGAGUUCUAGGCCACCUCCUCCUCAGCAUACUCCUCAUCCUCCUCCUCCUUGGCCGUGGCAUCCUGAUAUUGCUGAUAUUCAGACACCAGGUCA
rnacentral:lncRNA from 1 species